AUUGCUUCUCGGCCUUUUGGCUAAGAUCAAGUGUAGUAUCUACCAACUUUUAGAUCAUACCUCCACAUUUAGCUUCACUUUUCUCAACUAACUCACACCUUUU
ensembl:snRNA U2 U2 spliceosomal RNA